rnacentral:rRNA from 1 species
AGCUCCAAUAGCGUAUAUUAAAGUUGUUGUGGUUAAAAAGCUCGUAGUUGGAUUUCGGCGGGUAUUGGUUGGUUUGAAUUGCUUCAACACUGACUUUUUUACCCGUGUGUUUUGCCAGAAUUUAGCGGGUGAUCUUCGCCGAUUGUCCGUUGGAACUGGUAGGUUUACUUUGAAAAAAUUAGAGUGCUCAAAGCAAGCUUACUGCUUGAAUAGUUGCGCAUGGAAUAAUAGAAUAGGAAGUCGUUUCUAUUUUGUUGGUUUUCGGAAAUCGAUAGUCGGGGGCAUUCGUAUUCAAACGACAGAGGUGAAAUUCUUGGACCGUUUGAAGACGAACUAAGGCGAAAGCAUUUGCCAAGAAUGUUUUCAUUA